rnacentral:misc_RNA from 1 species
UCCGAGUUAACCCCGGCAGUCUCUCAUGAGUACCCACCACAAUGUGCUGGCAACAUAAGACAAGGGUUGCGCUCGUUGCGGGACUUAACCCAACAUCUCACGACACGAGCUGACGACAACCAUGCACCACCUGUGAACCGACCACAAGGGAAAACGUAUCUCUACGCCGAUCCGGUCCAUGUCAAGCCCAGGUAAGGUUCUUCGCGUUGCAUCGAAUUAAUCCACAUGCUCCGCCGCUUGUGCGGGCCCCCGUCAAUUCCUUUGAGUUUUAGCCUUGCGGCCGUACUCCCCAGGCGGGGCGCUUAAUGCGUUAGCUGCGGCACAGAAGUCGUGGAAGACCCCUACACCUAGCGCCCACCGUUUACGGCAUGGACUAC